AUUGAACGCUGGCGGCAGGCUUAACACAUGCAAGUCGAGCGGUAGCACAGGGGAGCUUGCUCCCUGGGUGACGAGCGGCGGACGGGUGAGUAAUGUCUGUGACACUGCCUGAUGGAGGGGGAUAACUACUGGAAACGGUAGCUAAUACCGCAUAACGUCGCAACACCAAAGAGGGGGACCUUCGGGCCUCUUGCCAUCAGCUUUGCCCAGAUGGGAUUAGCUAGUAGGUGGGGUAAUGGCUCACCUAGGCGACGAUCCCUAGCUGGUCUGAGAGGAUGACCAGCCACACUGGAACUGAGACACGGUCCAGACUCCUACGGGAGGCAGCAGUGGGGAAUAUUGCACAAUGGGCGCAAGCCUGAUGCAGCCAUGCCGCGUGUGUGAAGAAGGCCUUCGGGUUGUAAAGCACUUUCAGCGAGGAGGAAGGUGGUGAGCUUAAUACGUUCAUCAAUUGACGUUACUCGCAGAAGAAGCACCGGCUAACUCCGUG
rnacentral:rRNA from 1 species